GAUAAACGCUGGCGGCGUGCAUGAGACAUGCAAGUCGAACGAACGAGCUUGCUCGUUAGUGGCGGACGGCUGAGUAACGCGUAGGUGACCUGCCCCGAAGUGGGGGAUAACGGCCCGAAAGGGUUGCUAAUACCGCAUGUGGCGACAUCUUCAGUGAUGUCAUCAAAGCCGCGAGGCGCUUCGGGAGGGGCCUGCGUCCGAUUAGCUCGUUGGUGGGGUAAUGGCUCACCAAGGCGACGAUCGGUAGGUGGUCUGAGAGGACGAUCACCCAGACUGGGACUGAGACACGGCCCAGACUCCUACGGGAGGCAGCAGUCGGGAAUUUUGCUCAAUGGGCGCAAGCCUGAAGCAGCAACGCCGCGUGAGGGAUGAAGGCCUUCGGGUUGUAAACCUCUUUUUCCAGGGACGAUGAUGACGGUACCUGAAGAAUAAGUCACGGCUAACUACGUGCCAGCAGCCGCGGUAAGAC
rnacentral:rRNA from 1 species